rnacentral:rRNA from 1 species
AGGCGACGAUGGGUAGCCGGACUGAGAGGUUGAACGGCCACAUUGGGACUGAGACACGGCCCAGAACUCCUACGGGAGGCAGCAGUGGGGAAUAUUGCACAAUGGGGGAAACCCUGAUGCAGCGACGCCGCGUGGAGGAAGAAGGUCUUCGG